AACUUUUAUCCCCUUGGGUAAUUGUAUGAUUGUUUUGAUUUAAGUGACAAUAAACUUUUCUCCCCUACCUGGGGACCACAUAUUAAAUUGAUUUUUGAACCUGGGAGAUGAAAGAGGGGCUUGCUCUGUCCACACCAUGCAUUGCCCCGGUGUUGCAGUACCUCCAGGACUGGUGCACUGUUC